rnacentral:rRNA from 1 species
AUGUUAGAACAACCCGUUAACAUUUUGUGUUGGAACCCAGGGGGGGAGGGGGACUGUCGGACAGUUCGUGAGGUUUUGGCCCUCUCAAAAGCCAAUAACCCCAAGCUUGUCUUCCUGUGCGAAACUAGGCAAGCUACUGUGAAAAUAGAGAAGUUGCGUUAGAGACUCGGUCUAAAAGGAUUUCAUGGUGUUAGUAGUGACGGGAGGAGUGGGGGCUUAGCACUUUUCUGGGAUGAGUCC